rnacentral:rRNA from 1 species
CCUUCGGGGUACACGAGCGGCGAACGGGUGAGUAACACGUGGGUGAUCUGCCUUGCACUUCGGGAUAAGCCUGGGAAACUGGGUCUAAUACCGGAUAUGACCAUGGAAUGCAUGUUCUGUGGUGGAAAGAUUUAUCGGUGCGAGAUGGGCCCGCGGCCUAUCAGCUUGUUGGUGGGGUAACGGCUCACCAAGGCGACGACGGGUAGCCGACCUGAGAGGGUGACCGGCCACACUGGGACUGAGACACGGCCCAGACUCCUACGGGAGGCAGCAGUGGGGAAUAUUGCACAAUGGGCGAAAGCCUGAUGCAGCGACGCCGCGUGCGGGAUGACGGCCUUCGGGUUGUAAACCGCUUUUGACAGGGACGAAGCGCAAGUGACUGUACCUGUAGAAUAAGGACCGGCCAACUACGUGCCAGCAGCCGCGGUAAUACGUAGGGUCCGAGCGUUGUCCGGAAUUACUGGGCGUAAAGAGCUUGUAGGCGGUUCGUCGCGUCGUUUGUGAAAACUUGGGGCUCAACCUUAAGCUUGCAGGCGAUACGGGCGGACUAGAGUACUUCAGGGGAGACUGGAAUUCCUGGUGUAGCGGUGAAAUGCGCAGAUAUCAGGAGGAACACCGGUGGCGAAGGCGGGUCUCUGGGAAGUAACUGACGCUGAGAAGCGAAAGCAUGGGUAGCAAACAGGAUUAGAUACCCUGGUAGUCCAUGCCGUAAACGGUGGGUACUAGGUGUGGGGCUCCUU